ACACACAGUACACAAACUAACAACACACACUGAUACACUGUCACACACUCACUGCACACCACACACAGUACACAAACUAACAACACACACUGAUGCGCUGUCACACACUCACAGCACACCACACACGGAUGCACAGCACCGUCACACACUCGCAGCACGCGCCGCGCCGAGGACCCGUCCACGCCGUGAGCGCACGCGGGCUGCUGACGCCCAGACCCACACGGCUCGCUCUCCCCGCGCCGUCAGAGAGAGAGCGAGCGAGCGCGCGCGAGCCAGCCGCCGGGAUUAACACAGGGAGCAGAGGAGCCGUCCGGACACGAAGGAAACCAGGUGGCUCGGGGACGGACCGGCGAGUUCAGAGACCGCACCGGCGGGGCGGCAGGAGGAAGCGCGGGUUCGGGGGGAAGAAGUUUUCCAGCCCUGUGGCGCUGCGAGGAGCGGGCGCGGGGAGGGUGCGCGGGGAUACGACACCGCUCCGGGAUAUCUACUCCACGGGCAGUCCCCGCUCCACAGUUACAGGGACACGGAGGGGUCUGGGGGCGCAGCGCGGCGCGGCGGCGGGACGUGGGAUUUGGGAUCGAGCGAGGGAGUCGCGUGGACCCCCCGCCCGGGCCCGCGGGAGGAGUGGGCUCCCCACGAGACGGUCCCCCCCACGGAGGAAGGCGCGCCACGAGCAGGCCAGCUGCCAUGCCGAUCCCCAAUCUUCCGAAAUAGACCCUGCCUCCGGCCGAGGCCGACGCCCACCCCCUCGCCACACCUCGCCCAAUCGCCAGCCGGGACGCCCCGCCAGCCCGCCCCCUCAUCCCGCUGAGCGCCAGCCUGAUGAUCACUAGCGCCAUGGGGACGGUGCGCGUCAACAGGUGAGGCCGCACGCCGCCGUACAACCUGACCUGACGCCCCA
rnacentral:lncRNA from 1 species